UGAUAAUAAAACACGUGAUUACGUCAUUAUCUGAUGAGCUGUGUGGGUUUCGUUGAAUGAUUUCGUCAAUUUCCGCGUUUUUGAUUUGUAACUCAGGACAACAAUUUUUGAGGUUAGGAUUUUUUUGUCGGUCUAGUAGAUGUCGAUAUGUAAAGAAUAAUUGAAUAAGAAGAGGGGAGGGCCAAUCAGUUGAUUUAAACUGUUUAAAGGCCGGUAAUCCGGUCUUAACGGACUACAAAAUGAUCCGGUGGAGAGGUACGUGGGAUCGUUAAAUUAAUCUCAGGUCUCUUUGAGAAUUUUUGAGAGAAUUAUCGUUGGGUUGAAAAAGGAAAUAAUUUAUACAACGACCUUACCACUUUUAACUCGAACCUUCACAACUCCACUAUUUAUUCACCCAGAAGACCUUAUCGUCUCUCAAAAUAUUUAAUAUUCAACUAGAAAGCUAUCUAAUUACUCUAAUAACUACCAACGUCAUCGAAUUUCACAUGGACAUUCCCAAAUCCGCGAAUGGAGUACCGAAGUGGUAGAAUGACAUGAGUUGACUCAUCUCUGAGUCGAGUUUUCGAGCGAUAUCUCUGAAUCUACGAGAGAUAACGGAAUUUUUGUAAUGACAUUUGUUGUAGCUCUCAAUUGGCUCCACAAAAAAGGUUUCAAUGAAAAUUUCUCCAUCCCCCCUCGAUUUUGAGAUAUUCGUCAAAAACCGGUCAAUAGUCAGAAGGAUCUCCCAACGCCUGAAGCGGAUAAAAAACCCAAAAAUUCUCGAUUCAAUGACGUUUUCCUCUAAAAAUUCCCGAUGACACGUGAACACCGGUGAUUUCCAGGAAUAAAGGGGAAAGUAAUUCCCACAUACUCUCGAGAUUGAUGAUGUUGUCUUCCGGCAAGACGUGUCCCCCCUCCACACGAGUGCCUAUUCAAGAUGUGUUUUUUUUUAAAUAAAUGCUUGGAGCACUGGCAUUGCUUCCUGUAGCUCGAAGGCUGCUUCCUCUCCCGUCCCCACCCCAUCAAUAACUUCCGGUACCCCACCCUCCCGAGAAAUUCGAGGUAAAAUCCGUCUCCAUGAGAUUUACCUCACAAAUCGAAGAAUCAAUUUUUUUCUUGAUCAUUCUCUUCCUAUUUUGGAGGUGAUUCGACAUUCAGAGACUCUACUGAUGACACCAGAGGAAAAUUCCAUUCCCAAACCACCACAGAAAAAAAUCAACAUGAGAAUCAAGAGGAACUGAAAUCCUGACAUAUCCAAAAGGUCAAUAUUGACCUGUCAUUAUUGAUUCCCAUGGGGACCAUGGAGAAUGCACUUGGGCUUCACUGAUAAGGGAGGAACGGUCACGUCAGUCGAGUGGUAAAACAGAGCCAGAAUAACUUCACAUUUUCCUGAUUAUCUCGAGAUCCAUCGAAGAAAAAAAAAAUUUUCACAGAAAAGAAUUUGUAGCUCUCGUUCUCCUCUGGAAAAAACAUAUCAACGAAAUUAUCGCUGUCUCACCUGGUUAUCGAGAUAUUCAUAAAAAUCCACAGUUGUCUCAUCCUGUUUUAUCAGUCCUUCAACAAUUUAUGGAAGUUGUCAUUCCAGGCUGGGCAAGUGCAUUUAAAACGCCGAUUAACAAGCUUCACAGUCGGUUUUUAGGUUAUGGGCACUCAGGUACACGAAUGCAACGAUAUUGUCAUGAUCUCGAUCUUCUCGUGAUGAUUUAUCAACGUCAGGAUGGAUUUAAUGAGGGCGACUCAGUGGCGGGUACAUCCACAUCGUUUCACCAUCACGCUGUUGCUUCAUGUGACAGCGGAGGAGAGAAGAACACACACUUGUUUCCCCCCCCUGACCCCACCACCGCCGACCGGGGAAGUGGCAGCUACUGUGCAUGGGAGGGGGCGACGAUGUGGAAGAGUGAGAUGAUUCAGCGCUGCUCACCCCUCCAACGGCGAUCGGGAGUAACGACCAACACAGGAACACGUCGGUGGGAGAGGCUCUGUAGGUGUGAGUGCCUUUGUGGGUGUGCACUGAUGGAGGAAGUGAUUUAUGGUCUAAUAAUUGAGAGGUCAGACUUCCACCUGAAGUGAACAGAGUUCUCUACAUCAGGAACCUGCCGUACAAAAUCACUGCUGAAGAGAUGUACGAUAUUUUUGGAAAAUACGGAGCUAUCAGGCAAAUUCGAGUGGGCAAUACUGCGGAAACACGGGGGACAGCCUUUGUAGUUUACGAAGACAUAUUUGACGCGAAAAACGCAUGUGAUCACUUGAGUGGUUUCAACGUCUGCAAUCGCUACUUAGUUGUCCUGUACUACCAGAGCAACAAAGCC